UCAUGCUACAUAUGAUACUUCGAUUAAUUUCUGCAUCAUCCGCCAAGAAUUGUGAUCAAGGUUUCUAUAUGUCGUGGCUCUUGCGCUUAUCCAACGGUUGAUAUUCAAGCAAGGGUUUGCAUACGUCCAACAAUUUUGAUCAAGGUUUCUAUACGUUGUGGCUCUUGCGCUUAUCCAACGGUUGAUAUUCAAGCAAGGAUUUGCAUACGUCAAUGAAAAUCUGGAACUGACGUUGCACAAUGAUUGUUGUCAAAGUGUUAGAUAGCUAUUGGUUUACGCAAAAAGUACUGCUUCAGUUUUUGUUUACACCGGCAGGUUUUGAUCUCAUUGUCUCGCUUCACAAAAGACAAAUUGUUUCCGGCAUUCACAUUCCUGCUUACUAACACAUUUUAUUCACGAGGGGAAUCAGAGUUUUGAUGCUUAGGCUAUAUAAGUUAAUAAAACUCUGAUUAAUUUAGUGAAAGAAUUUUUAGGCUUCCAUAAUAGAAUUGACAGUGUAUAACAAAGAUCCACUCAUCAACAAUAUGCGUGCGUAGAUUGUAUCAUAGAAUAAUUAAGGAACAAAAGGGGACAACAACAGAAGUAUAUGAUAACCUAUUUGAUCUAAAAGUAAGAGACGAGUUAUUGAAGCAAAUAUUUGGCAUAUGGAACCCCUUCAUUAAUCUUAUAAAACUCCUGUUAUAUUAUAAUUAUAUUUAAGAAUAAAUAUAAAUAAAAUUAAGUCAUUUAUAUUCGCUUAUUCUUUUCAAUUUCAUUUUACUUGCACAAUAUAAAUACAUUUUAUUAUCAUUAAAAUAAUAUGAAUUUAAGAAGUAAUCCUCUAAGCUAAAACAAAAUUCUUGUAAUAAACAUAACAACUUAAUUAAGAUACAAUACCGUGGAAAAAUAAGUAAAAUAAAAUUUUAUCCUACUGCAAAUAAUUUUUUAAGAAUUCUCAAACUAAUUACCAAAAAAAUUAUAAGUAGGAUAAAAUUGUAUUAGACCCAUAAAAUAUUUAUUAUUUUCUAAGUAUAAUGUUUUUCUUUUUUAAUUUUUUUAAAAAUUAAUUAAUAAAGAAAGUUUGAAGAGAGGAAUACAAAUAUUAAGGCUAAAAGAGUGAAAAAAAUAUUAGAACUGAAAAAUUCAUAAAUAAAAAAAGUGUUCAUUUAGAAAAAAAGAUAUUUUUAGUAUUAAAUGGAAUAUAAUUGAAAAAUGAAUUUCAAUAGGAUUUUGGAGGAGUGCUAAUAAUCCGACUCAUUUUACUAGUAAUUCUUUCUAGGAAAACGACGAGAAUGCUAAUGAUGAUGAUCAUUUAUGAACAUAUCAACCCCUCUGCCUCCGCGUUUGACACCUACGCAGUUCUAGUACUGCAGUGUGAUCCAAAACUCAACCAACAAAUAAUAGUAUAAACGAUACAACUGGAUCAUUAAAAAUAUGAAAAGAAAAAUAUUUAUAUUUUGUGUCUGCCACCUGUCCCAGCAGGUAAUGGUAAAAGGGAAAAGAGUCUACUAACAAAUGCGUAAAUCAGCUGACAUGAGGUUGUUCUAGCAUAACCAAGGUACUCGGUUCGAGACUUGGGAAUGAAGUUACGUUAAAUACUUGUUGGGAGAGCUUUGCCGUCCUAGUGGUCCUGCCCGACUCGAAUCUGAAUUAAUUGGGGUCCAAUGUGAUAUUUGGAUAACAGAUGAUUUAAUAAAAAAAAAAAAGUCUUGGUGGGUAAGUAGAAAAAUAUAAAUUAUUCGUUGGGCGCAGGAUAGCAGUUCAGGAAAGUUCCGUGGACAUGAUUUUUCUUUAAAUCCGAAUAUGAACUCCAUCGCUAUCUAGUUAGAAAUAUUACCGGUAUAAGUUCUCAAUAUCUGACUUUUCUCUUUGUCUUUUCAUACUCAAAUGGGUUUUCAUUGUAGCUAAGAAUUAUCGGCCCCAUUUUGUUCACAUGAUUGACAUCUUUUUCUUCAUUUAGAAACAUAUUGUUCUUUUAAGUGAUACGAAUAUACGAUCAAAGGGCUCACAAUACGAUUAAAAGAAACAAAAUAGAUUUUAGAUAAUAUUGCUGUUUUUUUUGAAGGCUUGGGAGAUGAUAAAUCUUAUUCAUUAAAGAUCAACUUUUGCCUUUUAUAUUGCUCAUCCCGCUAAUAACUCUUUCAUGGCUAGUUGAGCUACUGGUCAUCAGAUAAAAUAGUCAUCAAAUAAUAUAGAUUGCUAAGAUAUGUCUUUAAUAUUGUUGCUAGCUCUUAUUUAUCACUUUAAAUAUUUAUGGUUAAAAUAAUUUUUUUUAAUAUGGAAUCAGAGUUAAAUCUUGUGAUUGAUUUUCCUUGCGUACAAACUUUAUUUUUAAUUUAUAUUCUUAACUCUUGUCUCUCGUCCUACUACCUCGAUCCCUCUGGGUUCAUUAGACCUCAAAAUCAGAUUAUUUACAUUUCAUGUGAAUGGACUUGUUAAGACUUAUUUUUUAAUACUAUUGCUGAACCCUUAACCAUAAACUAAAGUUUUUCAGUCAGAGUAUUUUUCUAACAAAAAUGAUUGCAUGAGAGUAUAAAUAAAUUAGCUAGUAUUUUUCUCGAUAGUACUAAAAAAUUAUAAAAUUCGUAGAGCCUCCUUUAUCACUUAUCACUAAAUACUAAUUACCAUAGAGAUGAAAAUUCUAGUUGAUCAAACUUCUUUACUGUCUAAAACAAGCAACUAAUUAUUGUAAAAGCGAUAAAUCCUUUGUGAUGAUGGCCUUGGAUUCCAAAAAAUAGAAUGCAAAGAUCAUGAACAUCGUGGUUAUAGAAGCAUGGGUGGAGGCGUGGAGCUAAGGGCGCCAAAUUACAUUGUAUAUUUAAUUUAUUUUUUGGCAGUGCCCAGUUGGCAAUGGGCAGUGUCAUCUUGAAGUCUAUAAACCUAACUCAUAUAGGGAUGACAAAAUUCGGAUUCGGAUCCGAAUUUUCAUUGAACUUUUGGCAUCUAAAUCCACAAAAAAAAUAUGCGGAUCUAAAUACGGGAAAUAUUCGCACAGAUUAUGGUUGGAUUUUCUGAAUAUCCAGAUCCGCAUAAUAAUAAAUUUAAAUUUAAUAAUUUACCUAAUAAUAUCAAAUAAAAUUCAAUUAUAAUUUAACAAUCAACAAUUCAACAUCAAUUCAAUAUAAAUAACGUACAACAACAUCAUAAAUUCACAAACAACAAUUUCACAACAUAAAUCAAACAUAAAAAAAAUAAAAAAUCUAAAAUAAACCGGUUUAUUACAAUAUUCUCUAAUUAUUAUUAUUAUUAUUUUUAGUUUUUAACAUAUUUUUCAUAGUCAAUGAAGAUUAUAGAAUUAGUUAUGCUUAUACAUAUUAAAUAAAUAAUUUAAUUUAUAUAUUUUAAUUGAAAUUUAAUUAAAUAAAUAAUUUAAUUAUAAAAUAAUGCGGAUCUGGAUAUCCAAUUUUUCGUAUGCACUUGCAUAUGAAUCUGCAUGGAUCUUGGUUUUUGAAAUUCGGAUCCAUAUUUUUUAACACGCGGAUCUGAAUUUUUCCAGAUCUGGAUCUUUCGGAUCUGGAGUUUAUUGCCAUCCCUAAACUCAUAGUUGAUAAUUAUAUCAUGUUUAUAUUAUUAACUAGUAACAAUUUUCAGUUAGUAUUGUGAGUUAUUUUCUAUAUCACUCCCAUUACAUUUUAGCCCAGUUUUUCAUUCGAUGUGUGCUGUUUUUGUAUAACCAUUAUGAGCAAGUAAGUCUUUUUAUUUUUAUAAUUGUCAUAUGAUAAGGUAGUGGGAACUCAAGUAAUAGUGCCGUUCUAUAAUUCAUACCAUUUUAUAUUUAUAUCUAUUCGUGGAUAACGUCAUUGUCGUUUGUGCUAUUAAACAAGAUGGAUAUUGCAUUAGAUAUUGAAAGCCCAUUUCAGUUUUGAAUUUGGAAUUUUUGUUUCGUUGUUAAGGUUUUGCAUUUGGAUUUAUGGUGCUAACAUCUGAAAACUCUUACCACAAUUACCAUAAUAUUCAACAACCGAGAUUUUAUCUUGUUUUAGUAAUGACAUAUUUCUAGUUUUUUUUUUACAAAUUGAUAUGACAUUACAUAAAUAAUUUUUUUAUAUUUUUAUUUAAUUAAUUAUGUAAUGUUAUAUCAAUUUAUGUAAAAAUAAGUUGUACGAGAGUUUAUAAUUAUAACAUUCCUUUUUAGAUUUAAAAAAUAUCAAUGUGGAAGCUGGACAACCCCAAACACUUCACAUUUAAUUAUCAUGUCAUAAUUAGAAGCAUUUAAAAAUACAUAUAUGUUAUUAUGUCUACUCAAUUUAUUUUCACGUUAUGUGAGACAAUUCACUAUUUAUUUGGGAAUUACUUUGAAGAAUUACUUAAAUCAUACGAGUUUCUCUAAAAAUUUAGUUUUCAUUUGUUUUACAACUUUUAUUAACAAGUAUAAUUUAUAAAAUCAUAUAAAUUUAUUAUUUCUCACCUUUAUCAUGAUACGACGAGUCCAGGUUGCCGGAAGGCAACUUUAUUGUUUUUAUUUAUUUAUUUAAUAUUCAGUGGAUUAAUAGCAAAGAACUUAACUCGGAAUCUAGAAAUCUCGUGCUUUAUAUAUAAAAUUCAUUUUUAGAAGACUUCGCCCUUGACUUGCUGAACGACAAAAUUUGGAGUAAAUGAUUACCACAAAGUAAGAUAAUUCACACCACCAAAAAGUUUGAAAAAAGGGGUAUUAAAUCACGUGUGAUAAUGGUCAAAAGUAUUCAAUUAACUUGGUGAUUUAAUUAAAAGCAUGAUAUUACGUGUCUCCGAAUGAUGCUACAUGUGCUUAACUUAUUUCUUGACCCUGUCUCUUUCCCGUUGCCCGUAGGAAGAAUCAUAGCUGUGAAAAUUCGUUGCUUUUACAUUGGGAAGCAACUAGCUAGCAUAUGGAAUCAUCUUAUUUAUUUAAAGACUCAUUAUCUUCUGGAUCUUUAAGGCGAUAAAGUUUGAUUUAUAUAUUGUUUAGCAUUAAGAUAUUGUAGAUUAAAGUUAUACUUAUUGUAAAAAAAAAUUAUAACUGUAAUAUGAAAUUUGAUAAUAUCUAAUAAAUAUGAAUUUUCAACAAAAAUAAUAAAUAUAGCACGUGUUUUCCAUCAUACAUAUUACUGCAUUGUGAAAUUAAAUUAACUUAAUUUUUAAAUUAUAAAAUUAAUUAUUUAUCAAACAUUUUAGUAUUGUAAUUUUUAAACUAUAAUUCACCUUACCACACUACCAAAUAAAGUCUUAAUGCCUCUUACUAAAUCAAAAAAUAAAUGUUUCUUUUAUAAUAACAUAUGAUUAAUUUAUGGCAUUUAAUCGUUGAUUCUCUCAAUAUUUACAUAAAGAACACGUGUUCUAAUUAUGCACUGAGAACCAGAAUUAUCUACAAAGAUAUUGACUUAAAUAAUAAGGAUGAAGUUAUCGUAUAUUAUUAAAUGAGACUAUUAAAUGAGACUUAUUGUUGUUAUUAUUAAAUGAAGUUAUAACAAAGAUCGAAAGGAGACAAGACUUCUCGAUUCAUUACUAUAAAAUAGUUUUAAAAAUAAUCUCUAUAUUAAUAAAAUCUCACGAAAAUAUAGAAGCAAUUUUAAUUAUUAUUAUUAUUUUUAAAAUCAAUUUAAAGGUUGUUACUAAAACUUAAAUAAUAAAUUAAGAGUCAUUAUCUUCUAAUUUAAUCUUUUAGAUUUAAGUUGCAACUUAAAUGACAGUAAAGCAAGUUUAAAGGUACAGUCCAAAACCCCUUUCGGAAAUUUUAAUUAAAUUUCAGUUCACAUCACGCCGCUAUUCUUGGUGAUAAGGGGGCGAUUUUGUUGGCUACAGUGGUUGCUUUGGGGUUCCAAGAAGAUUUUGCAAUAGUAUUUGUAUGCUGAGGCUGUGGCAUUUUGCUUUGGGUUGUCUGUUGCUCUCGAGGUUAAUUUUUGAAUGAUUCAAGACUUUUGGGUUAGUCAUGUUUGAGAUUAGUUCGGAUUUUUUUUUAAAAUAUGAAUUUCCUUUAAAAUUUUAAAAAAAUAUUAACUUACACUGAAUUAACAAUUUUGCACUGUUUGAUUUUAUUCCACAUUUUUUUCUUCUGCAUCCGUCUAUGGUCCAACUCAUAUUCAAUGCAAAAUAAAUGCUGUCCGAUGUGAAAUAAUUUUCUUAACACAUGCUUCACGUCAUACCGAACUUUUUCCCUUGUCUUUAUCACAUGAUGGGGUAGUGCACAAUGCAUAAGUUUAGGUCUAACACCAUUAGCACUGUAAGGGUGGGCAUGGGUUGGGUAGGUUUAAGUUGAUACUCAACCCAACCCACCCCUUUAACGUGUGGGUUGAGAAAAAUCGUAAAAUUUAUAAAAAUAAUUAUACA
rnacentral:lncRNA from 1 species